CGCAUAUGAUCCUGAAUCGCAAAAGUAGCGGUUUUUUUAUAUCUGUUAAUAUGGAAUUAGCUCAAUUCCCAUUCACCUAGAUAUUUUUUUCACUGGCUAAUUCUUGCUUUAUGAGAAGAAUAGCAAAAUUAAUUUUGAUCUCACAUAGUUAGGAGUAUGACCCGAUCGUUAGAUAACUACCACAACUACAAAAAGCAGUUUUAACAUCGACAUAUUCAUAUCGGUUUUUGACAAAACGGAUGUUAACAAAAAUGCGGUGACAUUAUUGUAAAUAAAAUAAGUUUAUCAACAUCGGUUUUUUCAAAAAAUCGACUUUGGAUGACUUAAUUAAAAACCAAAACUGGACUGUCUGCACACUCUCGCUCGCACUCUCGCAACACCACGCUGACCACCGUCACAAGUGUGCUUCUCCGGCGUGCGAAAACACUCACCGUCACAAGAUCCACAGGUUUCAUCUGCUCUUCUUUCUGUGUGGAAGAGUCAUCAGCCUCCAUUUGCACCUAGAACAGGAAAUUAUCAACAAAGCCAGUGGUCAUUGAGUUAUUUGUUAGAUUGUUCCUUUCAUUUUGAAUCGUGCUGCUCAUCAUCACAGGCCCAUGGCUACUCCACCUGGCUUGCCUCCUCCUCCUCUUGUAGUAGCAUCACAAACUCCGUCUACCUUUAAGCGGACACGUAAAGCCACACGACUACGAUCCUUGGCCACUAGACCACCUGGGGCAGAGAGACCGGUGGUCCACGUCGAUCCUGCGACUGGGAAUGCUGACAAUCCCCACAAGAAGAAAUUAAGAAUAUAUUUGGGGAUUGUCACUCGUGAUAAGGUCGACAUGACAUACGAGACUUGGAAGGAAGUCCCUACUACUCAGAAGGAUUUGAUAUGGGAGAUUAUUCAGGCUGAAUUUGAUAUCCCUGAAGCAUCUCUGUUAUAGCACACGGUGGUCAAUGUCUCAG